AAACUUUACAAUGCGGGAAACCGUGAUAAGGGGACACCGAGUGCUAGCAUCAUAUGCUGGCUGUCCAGGUGUACACCUGUAGCAAGGGCCGGCAAGACCGGUGCCAGCCGCCGCGGUAACACCGGCGGCCCGAGUGGUGAUCGUGAUUAUUGGGUCUAAAGGGUCCGUAGCCGGUUUGGUCAGUCCUCCGGGAAAUCUGAUAGCUCAACUAUUAGGCUUCGGGGGAUACUGCCAGACUUGGAACCGGGAGAGGUAAGAGGUACUACAGGGGUAGGAGUGAAAUCUUGUAAUCCCUGUGGGACCACCUGGGGCGAAGGCGUCUUACCAGAACGGUUCGACGGUGAGGGACGAAAGCUGGGGGCACGAACCGGAUUAGAUACCCGGGUAGUCCCAGCCGUAAACGAUGCUCGGUAGGUGUCGAGGGUCGCCGCGAGGGAACGCCGUAGAA
rnacentral:rRNA from 1 species